AUUGAACGCUGGCGGCAUGCCUUACACAUGCAAGUCGAACGGCAGCACGGGAGCUUGCUCCUGGUGGCGAGUGGCGAACGGGUGAGUAAUACAUCGGAACGUACCCAGGAGUGGGGGAUAACGUAGCGAAAGUUACGCUAAUACCGCAUAUUCUGUGAGCAGGAAAGCGGGGGGUCGCAAGACCUCGCGCUCUUGGAGCGGCCGAUGUCGGAUUAGCUAGUUGGUGAGGUAAAAGCUCACCAAGGCGACGAUCCGUAGCAGGUCUGAGAGGAUGACCUGCCACACUGGGACUGAGACACGGCCCAGACUCCUACGGGAGGCAGCAGUGGGGAAUUUUGGACAAUGGGGGCAACCCUGAUCCAGCCAUGCCGCGUGAGUGAAGAAGGCCUUCGGGUUGUAAAGCUCUUUCGGCGGGGAAGAAAUAGCAACGGCUAAUAUCCGUUGUUGAUGACGGUACCCGCAUAAGAAGCACCGGCUAACUACGUGCCAGCCGCCGCCGUAAAAC
rnacentral:rRNA from 1 species